CUUAGUAGGAGCCAUGCUUCCACUAAUGAUUUGGAUAAUUCUUAUAUGACUACUUUAAAAGGUUUAGUAUGAAUAAAAUAUGAAUAAAACUAGAAAUAUGAUGUUUGACACCAUAUAGUUUAAAUGAAUGGACUUGAUAAAAACAAGUCACACAUAUCAAAUGGGAUUACUUGAGAAGGAAUUCUUUUGUAUAUGUUCGUUUAAAUAACUUGUGUUAGCUAGAUUUGUUGAUUGUCCAAAA
rnacentral:lncRNA from 1 species